GGAGUUUCGUGGAACGCCACCGGU
rnacentral:siRNA from 1 species